AAGUCUGAUACUAACGCAGACAGUGGAUGCCUUGGCGCAUGUUGCCGAAGAAGGACGUGCAUGGCUACGAUAAUCGUCGGGGAGGAGCCACGAUCCAGUGAUCCGACGGUGUCCGAAUGGGGAAACCCAACCGAGUUCAUAUUCGGUUCUUCUACGGCCAAGUAUCCCGACUUGUCGGGAUUAAUAAUCGUAGAAAGGGUACCACCCAAACUGAAACAUCUCAGUAGGGUGAGGAAGAGAAAACAAAGUGAUUCCGUAAGUAGCGGAGAGCGAAAUCGGAAUAGCCCAAACCGCUCCGAUCCUUCGGGAUUGGAACGGGGUUGUAGGACUCCAAUGUGGGACCCACACCUUUUAGUAGAAUGAUCUGGAAUGGUCAAUCAUAGAGAGUGAAAAUCUCGUACACAAAAAAAGGUGGGGCUCUAGGAGUAUCCUGAGUACCACGGUCGAUAUCUCCGUGGGAACCUGGGGGAUCCAUCCUCCAAGGCUAAAUACAACAUGCGACCGAUAGUGAACCAGUACCGUGAGGGAAAGGCGAAAAGAAGGGCGGGACGCCCAGUGAAAUAGAACCUGAAACUGUUUGCGGACAAACCGAGAGAGCCUUGUGCCUUGCACAAGGAAAUCCAAAUGACUAAAUCCCAAAUCCAAAUAAUAAUUUUCGAAUUUUGAAAUUGGGAUUUUGGAUUUUCCUGCGCAGAGCGCAGGGUGAUCUCGUGCCUAUUGAAGAAUGAGCCGGCGAGUAUCCUUGUGAUAAAAGUCUAAGUCGCUUAAAGCGACGGAGGCGUAGCGAAAGCGAGUCUUAAUUAGGGCGUUUAUUAUCACAUGGAUGACCCGAAACCAGGUGAUCUACCCAUGAGCAGGGUGAAUCCCGAUGAAGAUCGGGAAGAGGCCCGAACCGUUGUAUGUUGCAAUAUGCUCGGAUGACUUGUGGGUAGGGGUAAAAUGCCAAUCGAACCUGGAGAUAGCUGGUUCUCCCCGAAAGGUCUAUGGGGACCGUGGCAAUGUUAAACGUAUGAGUGGUAGAGAUACUGGAUGGGUAAGCGAGGGUAACCGAGUUUACUUAACCAAACUCCGAAUAACUAUACGUAAUCCGUUGCUAGACAAUCUCAUCGGGCUAAGCUGAUGAGGUGAGAGGGAAACAACCCAGACUUUCGGCUAAGGCCUCUAAAUCACAACUAAGUUUUAAAGGAAGUCGAAAACCUUAGACAGCCAGGAGGUUGGCUUAGAAGCAGCCACCCUUUAAAGAAAGCGUAACAGCUCACUGGUUAAGGUUAUCGGCGCCUAAGAUUUAUCGAGGAUUAAGUUGUGUGCCGAAGCUAGAGAUCCGCAAGGAUGGUAGGGGAGCGUUCCAAAUGCAGUGAAGUUCAGUCGUAAGGCUGGGUGGAGUGUUUGGAAGUGAGAAUGCCGGCAUGAGUAGCGCACUAGAUGUGUGAGAAUCACAUCCGCCGAAUACCCAAGGUUUCCGUCGGGAGGUUCGUCCGCGACGGGUUAGUCGGUGCCUAAGGCGAGGCCGUUAUGGCGUAGUCGAUGGACAACUGGUCAAAAUUCCAGUACUUACCUUGGAUCGUUACACCGCAAGGUGCAUACGUAAGUAUGUUUAACUGGGGGUUAACUAGACAGGAUGAUUGAAGCCAGUUUACGAAGUCUGGUGCAAAUUGUGAGAUAGUAGCAGUUGGAAAAUCCGCUGAAACGAUUAAUCAAGCAAUGAUGCAGAGCUUCAGUCAAAUGGGGCGAUUUCAAACCAUUCAGUCUACAAGAAAAGACUCGCAGUGAGAUCCAAGAUAAGCCGUACCGCAAUCCGACACAGGUGGGUUGGUCGAGAAGACUAAGGCGAGCGAGAGAAAGAGGUUCAAGGAACUCGGCAAAAAAGCUGGACGUAACUUAGGGAGAUGUCCUGUCCCGAUUUUAUCGGGACCGCAGCAAACGAGUGCUAACCGACUGUUUAUCAAAAACACAGGUCCGUGCAAAGGCGUAAGCCGAAGUAUACGGGCUGACGCCUGCCCAGUGCCGGUAAGUUAAGUGGAUGGGUGUUUCAUCGUAAGAUGAUUUGCUCUGAAAUGAAGCUCCGGUAAACGGCAGCAGUAACUAUAACUGUUCUACGGUAGCGAAGUUCCUUGUCGGGUAAGUUCCGACGCGCACGAAAGGCGUCACGAGUUAGCAACUGUCUCGAGCCUCUACUCGGCGAAAUUGCGUUGGCUGUGAAGACGCGGCCUACUUCCACCAGGACAAAAAGACCCCGUGGAGCUUUACUGUAGCUUGGCGUUGUCUUGUGCGUGUCAAUUGUACAGAAUAGGAGGGAGCUCACGCGACAGUGUAAUACCUCCCUUUGAGACGUGGCAAGACUUACCUAAUGGUUCUGAAGACGAAUCAAGGAAUAGCGCUAGGUGGGCAGUUUUACUGGGGCGGUACCUUGCCAAAGAGUAACGCAAGGGCACAAAGGUCGGCUUAGUACGGAUGGACAUCGUACUGAAUGUGUAAAGGCAUAAGCCGGCUUGACUGCGACAGCGACGGCUGGAGCAGGUGCGAAAGCAGGUCUUAGUGAUCCUCCGAUCCUGCAUGGGUCAGGACGGAGCUUAACGGAUAAAAGCUACCCCGGGGAUAACAGAGUAGUCGCGCCCGAGCGUCCAUAGCGACGGCGCGGUUCGCUACCUCGAUGUCGGCUCAUCACAUCCUGGGGCUGAAGAAGGUCCCAAGGGUCGGUCUGUUCGCCCGUUAAAGUGGUACGUGAGCUGGGUUCAGAACGUCGUAAGACAGUUCGGACUCUAUCCGGUGGAAGCGUUGAGUCUUGAAGGGAGCUGGCCUCAGUACGAGAGGACCAGGCUGGAGGAAUCCCUAGUGUGCCGGUUGUCGCGUCAGCGGCAACGCCGGGUAGCUACAUUCCUAAGGGAUAACCGCUGAAAGCAUCUAAGUGGGAAGCCUACCCUGAGAUUAGGACUCUUUAUUAGACCCCGAGAAGAAGACUCGGUAUACCGGCAGGCGGUGGAAGGGCAGUAAUGCCUUAAGCCUACCUGAUACGGAUUGGUCAAAUUCAGACUUUU
rfam:Candidatus Woesebacteria bacterium RIFCSPLOWO2_01_FTLL_39_25 rifcsplowo2_01_scaffold_16034, whole genome shotgun sequence.